UUUUUUUUUUUUUUUUGUAAUUUUGUUGAAAAGGGAAGAAUAAUGGAGUAAAUUCAUUUAUUUUUUUAUCCAAAAUACCCUUAAAAUAAAAUCAUUUUGAAUAUAUCAGAACCACUUUUGAGAAGUCAAACUCAUAAUUGUUACUUUUUCAGUUCAUAUUGUCCACGAAAUUGGGGUCCCCCUUACCAAUAAAUGUAUUAAAAGUUAUGUUUCUUUCUCCUUUUUUUUUAUUUUAUAUCUUUUUCUACUCCUUUUUUUCCUUUAUAUUACAUCAUAAUUUUUUAAUUAUUAUUCUUAUUAAAUAUAUUUAUUUAUCUAGAAACUUCGUAUUCUUAGUAAGAUUGUUUUGCUCGUGAUUUAAUUUGAAUUGUUUUUUAAUUAAAUGAAAAAAUUUAAUUAAUUUGAUUUUUCAAAUAUUUAUCAAGUCAAAUUAAUUAAGUCAAUUUUCAUAAUUUUUUUUGUAAAUUUUUCUUGCUAUUUGAUUUUUUGGACUUCUAAAAAAUAUAUGAUACUAUAAAAUUUUGUUAAAGUACAUAUAUAUAGGAUCCUUCAGAAAACAAAUUACGCAUUAUUUAAAAAUUUAAUUAUUUUAAAGAAAAAUGAUAAAAUUAUUUCAAACGAUUUUAAUAUUUUCUUACAAUAUUAAAGAUGAAGAUAUGUUAAGAUAUCUUGUUAAUAUUUGAUUUAAAUAAAAAUAAUCGUUGAAAAUAAUCAACUGAUAAGAAAGAGAGUAAAUACAGUUCUUUACGUAAUUAUGAACGAAUGCAAUUGCAGCUUCAAUGGUUAAAGCUUAAACGAAGAGUCUAUAGGUUACAAGUUAGAUUCUAGGUUAUGUCCCAAUUUUAGGUAUUUUUUUUUAAAUAGACUCUUUGAAGCUAUUAGGAUUUAAAUAAUUUUUAAUGUUAUAUUACUUUGGUAAAUAUGAUUGUAAAAGUUUAUAUUCAGAUUGUUUCAUAAAAAUUGAAGAUUUUUCAUUAUUAUAAGUCGAUCAUUAUGAUAAAAAUAAAUGUACUAAAUAUAGUAUUAUAUGAGUUAUGCACCCUUACAAAUACAAGUCAAUUGAAUGUGAUUAUAUAUGCAUGAUCAAGUUAUAAUAAGAUAAUACUAUUAUUUAUGACUUUGAUCGGUUUAUCUUCACAUAUUAGGAGUUAUUAGACUAUAUUUAUUGAUAAUAUCACAUUUUAAAUUUCCUAGUGAUAUUUAUUAAACAACUGAUAUGAAAGAGAGUAAAUAUAUUUCCUUAUGUAAUUAUGAAUGAAUGUUAUUGCAGCGUGAAUGGUUAAAGCUUAAACGGAUAGUCUACAGGUCACAAGUUUGAAUCUAGGUUAUGUCCCAAUUUUAGAUUUUUUUUAAAAAAAAAAGAUUCUUUGAAACUUUUAGGAUUUAAAUAAUUUUUAAAUUCAAUUUUUUGGUGCAUAAGAUUAUAAAAGCUUAUAUUUGGAUUGUUUCAUAAAAAUUGAAGAUUUUUCAUUAUUAUAAGUCGAAUCAUUAUGAUAAAAAUAAAUGUGAUGGGUACAAUAUUAUAUGAGUUAUGCUCCCUCACAAACAAGUUAAUUGAAUACUAUUAUGUAUGAAUGAUCAAAUUUUAAUUGGGUAAUACAAUUAAUUAUUGUACAUGUCAACCUUUGAUCAAUUUAUAUUCACAUUUUAGUAGUUAUUAGACUAUAUUUAUUGAUAAUAUCUCAUUUUAAAUUUACUAGUGAUAUUCAAUAAACAACUGAUAUGAAAGAUAGUAAAUACAUUUUCUUUCAUAGUUAUGAAUGAAUGCUAUUGCAGUGUAUAUGGUUAAAGCUUAAACAAAUAGUCUAUAGGUCACGAGUUCGAAUCUAAGUUUAGGUUUCCAAUUUUAGGUUAUUUUUAGUUUUUUUUUGUAAGUCUAUAGGUCAUGAGAUUUUUUUACUUUUUUCUCCAGACCUAUCGUAUGCACCAUCAAAAUCUUCAUGAUUUUGGGACAACAAACUAUCAUCCUCAUCUAAAUCCAAAAUAUUAUUCAAUACUUCAUUUAAUUGACUAUUCGAAUUCAUCUUGUUAAAAUUAUAUGAAUCUAACGACAAAAUAAAAUCUUGAACAAUAAAAUAAGAUAAAAUUGUGAACGAAGUAAAGAAGAAAAAAUGAGUAAGGUAAGAGAGAGAGAGAAAAUAAGAAAGAAAAAGUUUAAGAGUGAUUUUUUAUUUUGAAUGGAAACAACAAGUGAUUUUAAAGUCAAAAGGUUAUUUAGUCAUUUACUCAUAGCUUGCCAAUUCAUGCCAAAAAAAUAUCUUGUCAUUUAGUAAUACUCAUUUAUUAAAUGCUCAAUUUGAGAUUGAUUGAAAAUACAUUCCCUUCUAGGGAAGAGGUUUCAUAUUUUGGAAGGACAAAUAUGAGAUGGAGACAUAUACUGCUAUCUGAAUAAUCAAAUAAAUUAAUUGUGAAUAAACUGCCAUGCUCACACCUACCUCAAAGCACCCACCACAUUUCAAUUUUCAUUUAAGGUUUUUGGGUCCAUCUAUUUUUUAACUUUUACAAUAAUCUCUCCGUCUCAUAUAAGACAAAUAUCUUAUUAAAAAUAUUUAUUUCAUAUUACUUGUUUAUUUAGUAAAUUAAAAAAAUUAUUACUUUUUCAUUUUAUCUCAAUAAUCAAUAUAACACAAAACGAAAGAAAUACUAUAUACCUAACACGUGCUUGAGAAUAUAUUUUUAACUUGUUUGGAAUUGGACACCGGUGAAAAUAAAAUAAUAGGUGGCAAUAUGAUUGUAAAGUUUUCUCAAUGGGUCAUUCUCUCUCGGUGUAGGUUACUAACGUGCGUUGGCCAUGGGGAAGAGAGCUCGUGCUCCAUCGCAGAAAACUCUAAUGGCACUGGAAGCAACAACAAAAGGAAAUCUACAUAAAGGGAAAAAGGCAUAGUAGCUUGAACUCCAGGAAGAAAUAGGAAUUGGAUCUGAAUCUAGGGAAAUGGAACAUAGUAAGGCGGAGGUGGAGAAAGAGCACCAGUUGGCUAAAUGAAAUGCCAAGUAUGUAGAGAAGGAGAACAAGGUAGUAACACAAAAACAUUGGGCAGGAAUCACAAAAUCACAAUCUUUGAAAAUGGGGUCUCCGUCUGAAAAUGGAUCGGCGGCAUGGGCAGAUGAAGUAGAAGAGGUAAUGUUGCAGAAACCAAAGGCUGGAAAAGUGUGGGAUACAUUUGACAUUUCUAAACUAGCCAAAGUUGGAUUCAAGUUAGAUUACUUGGCUCCAGAGAAACAUGGUGAAGGGUCAAUAAUCGACAUUGAUUUUGAAGAUAUUGAGUCUGAAGUUAACUAUUGGAAUAAUGUGGUGGUUUGUUAUGUACUGGGUGCACACCUUCCAUUCACUGUAAUUAACGGAUACAUCCAAAGAAUUUGGGCAAAGUAUGGGUUUAACAAGAUGGCGAUGCUGAAAAAUGGAGUCAUGAUAGCAAUGUUUAAUUCAGUUUAGGGAAAAGAGAAAGCGCUAAAAGUAGGAAUUUACCAUUUUGACAACAAGUCAUUUAUUGUCAAAGCAUGGUCAAUGGAUAUGUAAUUCACAAAGGAGGAACUGAAUUCUGUUCUGAUUUGGAUAAAACUUUCAGAAUUUGACUUCAAGUAUUGGAGUCCAAUAGGAUUAAGUAAGGUCGGGAGUUUGAUAGGAAAACCAUCACUGGCUGAUCAGAAUACUGAAAAAAAGCAGGGUCUUAAUUUUGCUAGAAUCCCAAUUGAGGUAGAGUUGGGGGUUAAUCUUCCAAAAAAAAAGUGUAUUUCAAGAAUGUGAAAGUACAGGUGAUAGAACAACAAGUCGUGUAUGAUUGGAAACCCACCCACUGUAAGUUUUGUGACAAGUAUGGGCACACUAGUGAUGAAUGUCGAAGGAAGAAUCCUUCAAAGAAGAAGGGAAUUAUGAAGGAAUAAGAGAAGCAUGGACAACCACAAACAACAGUUGGCCAGAGUAGUGAAAGACAAGAGUUUAAACACGUUGAAUUAAGAACUGCUGCGAAAAAUGUGCAAUGUGAACAACAUCAGGUUGAACACGGGGAAUUAUCUUUGAUGGGUUGGAUAACACCAUUCAAAAUCGGAAGGAGCCAAGGUCCGCAUCAAGUACAAAUUGCUAGUGAUAAUUCAUUCCAAAUAUUUAACAAAUCUAAUGAGGUAAACAACUCAACUCCAAGGUCUGGACAAAUAGUAGGUGGUAGAACCAUUUUUCCAGAAGGGAAUGGUUAGUAUGAUAUGCUGGAAUGUGAGAGGGUUUAGUGCCCAGAAUAAGCAAAAUGAAGUGGUAUUCCUCUGUAAUAAGGAAAAUGUGGGAUUGGUAGGGUUAGUUGAAAUGAAAGUAAAUAGUAAAAAUAUUGAGAAAGUGGUGAAUAAAAUGUUUGGAGGUUGGCAGUUCCUAACCAACCUAGAAUCACACUACAAUGGCAGAAUUUUACUAGUAUGGAGACCAGAUUACUAUAAAGUGGAGCUAAUGAGAAGCUUAACCCAAAUGUUGACUUGCAAGGUCUGUUAUAUACUUCUGCAAUUGACGUUUAUGGUGUAAAUUGCUUAUGCAUACAACAUUAGGGAGGAUAAAAGAAAACUGUGGAAGGAAAUUAAAAACCAAAGUUCAAAUUUUCCAAAGCCAUAGCUAUUAUUGGGUGAUCUUAAUUAUGAUUUACACGCUGAAGAUAGAAUUGGAGGAAACCCCAUCUCUUUACCGGAAGUAGCAGAAUUUCAAGAUUGUAUUGAUGUAAGUGGCUUGAUAGAAUUACCUCAUGAAGGAAAAAAAAAUACACAUGGAAUGAUAGAGUGAUAGGGAAUAGAAUUCAAUCUAAGAUAGAUUGGAUGUUCAUCAAUUUGAUAUGGUUAAAUAGUAUGCCGUCAUGUGGAACAUUGUAUCUACCCGAAGGUAUAACUGGCCACUGCCCUUCAAAGGUCUAAUUACAAAAUCAAGUUACCAGAACAAGAAGAGCAUUCUAGUAUUGUAAUGUUUGGGCACAACAUCCACAAUUCAAUGACAGAAUCCAAGCAGUAUGGGACACACAUGUGGAGGGAUGUAAAAUGUGGAAAGUGGUGAAAAUAUUAAAAUUAUUGAAACCAGGUCUGAAGAAACUAAAUACACAUUAUUUCAGAAACAUUGUUACUGAUGCAUGUGAAGAUAGGGAGGCCUUGUUAGAAGCGCAACAGAAGCUUUAAAAUGAUCCUCAAAACAAGUCUUUACAGGAAGAAGAUAAAGUUUAAUAUGACAAGUACAGGUACACUUCCUAUAUGGAUGAAAGCUUUCUCUAACAACGAAAUAAGGCAACAUGGUUGAAGCUAGGAUAUGACUGCACGAGAUAUUUUUUCGCUGUGAUAAAACAUCGGAGACUCCAGCAGAUAAUAACACAAAUUAUAGAUGACCAAGAUGAAUAGCAGUAUGAUCAGGAGGCGAUUGCAACUAUAUUUGUGAGUUUUUAUGAGCUAUUCGGGUAAGAAGAUUCUACGAAGGAGGCAGAUUGCUCAGCUUUCUUUAGUAAUGGUCAUAUCCUUUCUAUAGAGUAACAACUAGAAGUGCAACAGAGGUUUAAGCAAAUGAAUGUCAAGGAAACAAUGUUCAAGAUAGACUGCAACAAAAGCACUGGCCCUGAUGGAUACGGGAGUGGAUUUUUUACAUCAUCUUGAAAGAUUGUGGGAAAAAAUAUUACAGAGGCCAUCCUAGAAUUCUUCGAAAAUGACAAGUUUUUGAGACAAAUUAAUGCUAUAAAUAUUACCUUAAUUCCUAAAGUUGUUGUUCCGAAAUUUGCCAGCCAAUACAGACUUAUUUCCUGUUGUAAUAUAUUGUAUAAGUGCAUUACAAAAAUGAUCUGCACAUGACAAGACAUCUCCUAGAUGUUUAAUAAAAAUUGAUCUGAGGAAGGUAUACGAUAUGGUGAACUGAGAAUUUGUAAAGAAAGCAUUACAGAGAUAUGGGUUUCCUAAAUUGGAAAAAGAGAUACGAACGGAGAGGAAUAACCAAUCGAUGAAAGAACAUGAAACCAUUCUGUUUCAAUAUAGGUAUGAGAAACGGUUGGGGGCAAUGAAGUAGGUGAAAUGGUUUGGAUUUAAGUAGAUUUACAGAACUUGUCAUGACAUGUGUCACAUCCGCUAUGCUUACGGUUAAGGUAAAUAGAGAAGGGAGUGGUUUUUUUGCUGGUAAACGAGGAUUAAUAUAGGGGGAUCCUAUGUCGCCUUUGUUGUUUGUGCUUGUAAUGGAAUACUUGUCCUAAACUUUGAAGUGUAUGAGUGAGUUGCCUGAUUUUCAUUUUCACCCAAUGUAUGAGAAACUCAACUUGACGCAUUUAAUAUUCGCAAACGAUUUGAUGAUGUUUUGCAAAGGGGAUGUUCAAUCAGUAAGCAGAAUAAUAGAGGCUUUGCAGCAUUUCAGUAGUGUCACUGGUUUAGUUGCAAAUAUGGAGAAGUCAAACAUAUUUAUGGCAGGGGUAAAUGAUAUUACCAAAAAGCAAUUGUUGCUAAGAACAUGAUUUUCGCAGGGCUCUUUUCCUAUUAGAUAUCUCGGGAUGCCGUUAUCUUCUAAUAAAUGGAGUAAAAUGGAGUGUCAUUAACUGAUACAAAAGAUCACGAGUAGAAUAACAAAGGUCUACUCAGAACAGUUAUCCUAUGUAGGAAGACUACAGGUGACAAUAUCAGUAUUGUUUGAUUUUCAUAACUUUUGGGGUUCUGCGUUUAUUCUACCACAGGGUGUAUUAAAAGAAGUUGACAAAAAAUGCAGAAAAUACCUCUGGAGCGGUAAGUAUGAUAAGAGGAGGACACUAUUAGUAUCUUGGGACAAAGUGUGUCUGCCUAAGAAGUUCGGUGGACUAAAUAUUAAGGGGAGCAAGUUGUGGAAUGUGGCGUCGGUGGGAAAACUUUUAUGGCAGUUAAUAGUCAAUAAGGAUGUAUUGUAAGUCAAAUAGUACAUGGGGUGUAUAUGAAGGAUAACCAUGAUAUCUGGGCGCAUACAUCACCGCAAGAUAGUAGUUGGUACUGGAGGAAGUUGAAUGCACUGGAGUCUGAUAUGGCGGAGUGGUACUCUCAAGGAGCUUAUGUCCUAGCAGAAAAUGGGAAGUACUCAACAGGAGCCAGUUAUGCAGUAUUGCUAGGCAUAAAGAGAAAAAUGAGGAUUUCAGACUUGAUAUGGAGCAAGAUCUCUCAACCAAGGCACAUAUUUAUAAUAUGGUUAGCUGUACAUGGUAGAUUGUUGACAAAAGAUAGACUACAAAGGAUGAAUAUACAAGUAGAUAAUAUAACAUGCAACUUGUGUGAUGACCAGUCUAUAGAGACACAACAUCACCUUUUUUUCUGAAUGUAAUUGGAUGAAAGGACUCAUUACAGCAAUGACUCAAUGGGCUGGAGUGCAAUUUCCAUCGAGGAAUGUCAAACAUGUGUUGAAUUGAAUCAGAAGGAGGCACUGGAAGCAAAUUAACAAGGAAAUAAUUGCAGCACUGUGGGGUUCCAUACUAUAUCACGUGUGGAAGGAAAGGAAUUGGAAACUGCACAGGGGAACUAUUGUCAUUAUGAAAACUACAAUCACACAAAUAAAGAUAAGUUUUAGUGUUAGAUUAGAGUUAGAAACACUAGGAAAGGCAAAAAAUGUGAUUUGUUAUUUCAGCAUUUUACUAUGUAAUUAGAGAUAUGUUGGAGGUUUAACUCAAAACAGUCCUUCUUCGAAAUAGCUGUAAAGUUAAAUGUUCUUUAGGUGUAUUGAUUUGGUUGUUAAUGGUAAUAUAACCAAAACAAAUAUGAUUGUCAUGACAAUAAUAAGAGAGUACAAAGUAUGAUCACUUGAAGUACAACUAGGGCCUACAGGUAGUAAAAUAGUUAUUGUUUGAUCAUUUUAAUAAUAGGUUAAGUAAAAAUUAAUAGAGAAAUUUUUGCAAAUAGUCAUUAUAGUAAAUUUAAUUAUGUUUCAUAAUUAUAGGUUGCAUAUUUAUAGAUUGUAGCUAUAAUUUAAGUUGUCUCGUUUGUAUUAUUCGUGGAUACAUUUGUAUAAUUCACGUGUACGUUUGAAUAAUUGAGAUAAUUUGUAUAAAUUCGUAAUUACGAAUUUAUACAAACACAAAUAUUUAAACUUUAAAAAGUGAUACAAAUUAUAUUAUAAAAAAUUUAUACAAAUUUUAGUAUUUAAAUUUGAAAUUAUACAAACUCGAAACCCUAUCCCCACAUAAUUAUUAUUGAAUGUUGAUCUCGAUUCACUACAACAAAAAUGAUCACUAUCGGCAAUUAAUUCUCAAUUGUGCUAAACGUGUAUUUUUAGCGGCAAUUGACACUCUUUGUAUCUGUCCCUUAAACUUUUAACGACAUUGGUUCUAAUGAAACUUAACUAAUGUCGGUAAAGACUUUAACACUCUUUAUUAGGCCUCAUUUGUUUGCACUUAAUGGAGGUCUGAAUCUAAAUCAUUCAAAUUCAGCUUAUUAAGUACAUUUGGUUUUUAGGUUUGAAUCUCAAUCAGCCCAUUAAGUUCAUUUGUUUUAUUUUUAAAAAGCCUCUUAAUGGGUCUGAAGAGGUCUGAAUGAAUCAGAUCUGUAGGAGACUCUUAACAACAUUCAGAUUUGUUUAAUAAGUUAUCAAAUAAUAAAUAUCGCUUCUCUACUUUAACCGUGCUUUUUGUCGCAUAACUAAAAACUUUGUUUUUCUCUUUUCUCAAUCAAACGUCAUUUUCCCCUUCUUGAACUGAUAAAUUUUCAUAAAUCUUUUCAAGUUUUUUUUUAUAUUAAUUUUCUUGUAUUGACUGUGUCAAAAACAUUGUUGGUGUAUUAGCUAGCGUUUAUCAAGGUUUUUGAAUGAAAAAAAUUUCCAAAAUCAUGAUUAUUAAAACUUUUUAUUAUCAAAAGCGAUAUAUUUUGUUGAAAUGAAAUUUUUAUUAUAUUUUAUUAGUUUAAUGUUAAUUUCACAUGCACAUUCAGAUAUUGAAAACAAACAAUAUUAAUUAUUUAGUGUUCAGAUUUAGAGACCACAUCUUAAUAUUCAGAUGUGUAUUCAGAUCAAAGUACCUGAAUCUUAAUAUUCAGAUGUGUAUUCAGAUUCAGACCUCUUAGUCUGGCUGGAAACAAAUAAGGCCUUCCGCUAUUUUUGUUGUAGUGAGUGGUAAUUAAUUAAAAUUAUAGUUAUAUAAACUAAUUAGCUAGUAUAUGUUUGCUUAACUAUACUAUUUUCCCAAAUAAGUUUAUAUUAUCCAUCAUAAAAUAUAAAUAACCACACGUAUUAGAAUGUAUAAAAAUAAUGUACAAUAGAGUAUAUUAGUAACACUUAUAUAUUAGUAAUAUUUGUAUUAGUUAUGCUUGCAUUAGCUAUAUAUAACUUUUUAUUUAUGCAUUGUUUGGUUUGAUGUAUUAAAAAUAGUACGCAUUGUAUAAUUAUAUUUAUUUACAAAAUAGUCUCCACAAUUAUGACGGAAAAAACGUAAAAUGUUUUUAGGGUCAAUUGGGUCUUUAACCAUAUUAAUACACAUAAAAAUUAAGAAAUUGACGCGACUCCUUAAAAAGGGCAUGUAAUUACAGUGGGCGCGAAAUGGCGUGAGCAUAUGUGAUGAUUCCCCAACUCAAUGCGGAGGAGCUCGUAAAGUUUGCUGAGAAAGUUUUUUGUGUGCUUUGAGCGCAAGAUCCAUGGGUUACCACAUAUGAAAAAUUAAGGAAUUUCUGUAAUUCCUAAAAAAAGGGCCUGUGGGUGUGGAAAUGAGCAAGAAAAUAAUAGCAUGAGCAUACGUGAUAGGUCCCAACUCAUGAAUUUGGAGGUCCUCAUAAAAAAUUUUCAAAUUUUUUUUUGCGUGCUCAUGGCUAAAGAUCUAUGGGAUAAUACAAAUAGAAAAUUGUGGAAUUUAAGCUAUUUCAAAAAUGGGCCUGAAGAUGCGGAUAUGAGUGAGAAAAAAAUGGUGUGAUCAUGCGCGAUGGUUCCCAACUCAAUAUAGAGGUCAUCCUACAAUUUUCUUAGAAAUUUUUUGAGUGCUCCAAGCGCCAAAUCUAUGAGCUAAUACAUAUAAAAAAAUUGAAGAAUUCACGCGAUUCACAAAAAUGACAUAUGGAUGCGAAAAUGUGCGCGAAAAAAAUGGUGUGAGCAUACAUGAUGGUUCUGCAACUCAAUACGGUGGUCCUCAUAAAGUUCUUUCAGAAACAUCUUUUGGGUGCUCCAAAAGUCAGACCCAUAGGCUAAUACACACAAAAAUUGAAGUAUUUGCGUGAUUUCAGAAAAGGCAUGUAUAUGCAAAAAUGGGAGAAGAAAAUGGUGUGAAUAUAUAUACGUGAUGGUUCCCAACUCCAUACGGAGAUCCAUAUAAAGUUUUUUGAGAAAAUAAUUUUUGGUGCUCCGAAUAUAUCGUCUGUAUGGUUGCUACGGAGCAUCUGAUUUGUAUAGAUCGACAUAUCAUUUGUAUUAAAGCGCAAUGAUUGUAUAUAUAUAACUAUAACAGAGGAGGAGGAGGGACUAGGGAAGAGGAGGAGGAGGAGGAGGAAGUUGUCUCAAUGUAUUUGAUAAAUAGUUUUUGUGAUAAGAGGCGGACCCACCCUUUUAGGUAGGGUGCACGUGCACUUGUUAAUUUCGGUAAAUAAAAUCAUGAGUUUGUGAGUGUAUGUGUGUGUAUUGAUAUAUAUUGAAAAAUUGAGAGAAAUUAGAAUAUAAUUAACGUACUCAUCAUAAAAAGCAUAAGUAUAUAUGUUAUUGUGCUGCCGGUACAAGCUAAAGUAUGCACAUGCAAGACUUGAAUUUGAAUCUAGCUAGAGUGUUGUUUCACUUUUUUUUAUGUUAAGCUUAUCAUAGAGGCUAAAGCUUAUAUUUGAGCUAAGGUAAUAUUGGUGCACCAACUUCAAAUUCCGAUUCGCCUUUUGCAGCAUUAGUUAUUUUUAGCCAAUACGAUAACUAAAAUGGAUCGGAGGGAAUAUCAUGAUUUGAAUAAAGGAUCUAACCAGAGUCAAAUUUAAAUAUAUUGAUGAAAUUUCUAAAAUUCCAACGUUAUAUCAUCCUUUUCUUAAGAAUUACCAAAUCAUAAUUAGAGUUGAGAAAAAUUUAAAGCAGAAAAUAACAUGUAUUACUAUAUGAAGAUUGGGUUGUAACAUAAGCAACCACCAAUGUUCAUUACAAGACUCGACAAUAUAUAAGUACUCCAAAUUACAAAAGAAAAGAGACAACAUAUAUAUAUAUAUAUAUAUAUAUAUAUAUAUAAUGAUGGAUCAAACUCGAUAGAUAAAUCCAUCUUAUUCUUCAUCUCCACAAGCCAGAUUUAGCUUUCAUCAACCUUACUGGACCCUGCAAUGCAAUAUUAAAUCAACAUUAAAUAUAUAGUAUGCGCGUACACACAUAUAUAUCGUUUUGUAACAUAUAAGUUUAAUCAAUAGUCAGACAUAUAUAAAUUACAAAUAAAAGAGAUAUUAUACUGUCAAUUGAAUAAGUAUAAUCACCGUACGUUGAGCAAUCAGUGGAAGGGCUGAUCUUGUAAGGAAUGUUGACUCCACAAACUCCAGGGAGCCCAGCGGCUUUUCCUGUAUCAAUGCCCUUAAUAGAAUUAGCUGCCGAUUUAAGGCAAGUGCACGCUGUCUUCCGGUCUUCUGGGGUCUUGGCUGCGCCCAAUAGACCCUUAACACCACCACAACACCCUCCUAGAGGGCCGCGACCCUCGAGAUAAGGGAGACAAGGAGCCAAGCCAGACGUAACCUCGCCGCAGCUCAGUGACUCUGCAUGGGGUGCAACCACCACCAUGCAAAAAACCACAAAGCAUGCAAUUUUUCCAAACAUUUCCAUUCUUAUAAAAAAAUUGAGUAAAGAUUAUAGAUAUAGUAGUACAAUUGUAUUUGUUUUGUGUGUUAGGUGUAAAAGCUAGUGAGUAUUUAUAGAGAGGAAAUUAGUGGAAUUAAAAAUGAGAGAAUUAGUUGGGAGUUAAGAGUUAAAUGAAAUGAGUAUAAAGUCAAAUUUCGUUUGUUACGUGACUAAUUUUUAUUGAACCACGCUAUACACGAUUUAAGGCCCAAUCCACAAAUUGUCCCAAUACUACUUUUCCUGUUACAGUGACGAAGUCAGAAAAUUUAAUUAUAUCGUAAUCUUUUUCUUAAAAUAAUGUGUGUUCGAUGGCUCUACUCAUGCUUUGAAUCAUUUUAUUUUUUAUUCUUUAUGGUAUAAAGUAAAUGUUUUUUUUUUAGAAAAAAAAAAAAUACAAGGAGAAGAGUGGUUAUUAAAUAAAGAAGAGUAAUAAAUAAGGAGAAGGGUGGGAUGUAAAAAAGUCAUAAUACAUGAAAUUGAUUAAACAAUGUCUCGAGUACAAACUAAGGAGACAGAGUACCUUACUGUUAGAUGUGGAAAUAUUAUGGUACAUGAGUUAAUUUUGAAACAAAUGACCCAUUAAUUUCUUUUAAAAAUUGGAUUUAAGGUGUAAUGUUUAUUUAUUUAAAUAAAUCAAUUUGCUUUCAUGACUUUUUAUUUUUAAAAAUGAGUUUAAGGUGUAAAGUUUAUUACUUAAUUAUAAAUGAUUAAAUAUUUUUGUAUGUUCAAUACAAAUGCUUGUUUCCGGUCAAAAAGAUCAUGAAAAAAGUAUACAAAAUAAUUAAACCUAUAGCAAAAUUAUAAUUAUGUGUUAUAGUUAUAAGUUGCAUAAUUUGCUCACCAUAGCGAAUAUGCUAUGGCUAUUUCGCUACAUAUAUAUAUAUAAAAGAAUUUAAGAUAUAUAUAUUUAUAUAUAUAUAUAUAUGUGUGUGUGUGUUAUAGUUAUAAGUUGCAUAAUUUGCUCACCAUAGCGAAUAUGCUAUGGCUAUUUCGCUACAUAUAUAUACAAAAGAAUUUAAGAUAUAUAUAUAUUUAUAUAUAUAUAUAUAUAUAAUAUAUAUUUGCAUAAAUUAUUGUCCGUCUCUCGUGGCUGCCUUUCAAUUCAAUUUUAUGUGUUUGUAUAUCUGUAUAUAAUUUGAAUUUGUAUACAAUUUAAUCGAAAUAAAAUGUUGGUAUAUCAAAUAUUGCUCUCUGUUAUACAUUGUAUUUUAUAUAAUCUAUACUUCUAUAAAGCGAGAAAGAGAAAGACAAAAGAGACCUAAGCAUGAGAAUAUUUGGAUUGUAUAAUUAUAAGUGUAUAGAACAAAAAUAUUUGUAUUUGCAUGUGUACAUACAAUUUUCUUCCGCUUUGUACAAACAGAAACACAAUUUAUACAUUUUUGUUUGUAUAAAGCGAGAGAGGCGGGGGAGAGACUGGCGAACAAGAGAGGGAGAGUGUCGAGCGAGAAUUUCAAGGAGAGAGGCGAGAACUGUGGUUUUAACAUCUAAUUUAAAUCAAUAGUUUGUCAUUAUAUACAAUUUUCUCAAUUAAAAAAAAAUAAAUCUUUUUAUUAAAUUAAUUUAAUUUACUUUUCAAUUUGGAUCGGUUUAUAACUAAACCUAUCAAAUCUUAUACAACAAUUCGUCAAACCUCAUGUCCCUGAUUACCCCUUCUUCCUUGUGGAGAGGUUUAACAACCAUCAAAGGAUAUAGGGCCACCCUAUAAUAAAACAAACUUUAAACGGUAAUAGAUAUAUAAUACAAUUAUUAAUUUUAUCAUUAACAUAAUAGAAUUAGUUAAUUAUCAUUGGUGUACUAUAGUUAUAGGCUUGAAAAUAUUUAUAAAGAGUGUUAAUUAUCUUUAAAAUAAAAUGUUUUGUCACAAUUAAGCUAUUAUUAUUAAUUAAUUAUCGCUAAAUUAAAACUAGUAGCGAAACUAGAAUCAGAAACAGAUUUAAAAAAAAUAUACGAAAUAUUUUUCUUAAAGAAGAAUUGUUGUUAAUAUGUGUCUAAAGAAUCUUACUCAUUCCAACAAGCUUUGCAAAAACACGAAGUUACCAAGUUUAAUGAACCAGUGAAGAACAAAAGAAUAGAAGAAUUGGAAUUAAUUCACAAAUCUAAAAUUUGUAAAGCACGUACCAGAAUCUGAAAAUUUUUAAUAGGAAAAAGAUCAAGUCUACUGAACUCACAGUGUUCCCUUAAGGAAAUUAUUCCCCUCUAGUAUCCGAGGUUUGAUUUGGAAUAUGACCUUCCAGGGUAAAAUAAUCUCAAUCAUCAGAGUAUAGAUACCAAAAACUCAGGUGUCAGUGAACCACUCAACGACAGUAAAGUACACUUAGAAUACUAGAUUUAGUAGUUGAAGAAGAAGUCCAUCAAUUCUAUUUUAAUAUGAGAGGAAAUCCCUCAAUUUAUAGAAAACAAAGGGUAGUGCAAAAAGGUUCUUAUUGUGCCUUACCGAAAAGGUCACAAACCUUUGGAAAAGUCACAAUCUUUCAGAAAGGUCGUCACCUUUCAUAAAAGUCACAACUUUCCAUAAAAGUCACAAGUUUUUAUAAAAGUCGCAACUUUUCAUAAAAGUCGCAAACUUUCAUAAAAAUCACAAUUUUUCAUAAAAGUCGCAAUUCUUCAUUUUCCAUUCACACCUUUUUAAAAUCGAACAAAAGAUCUUCGAUAUGAAUUAAUUUCUCUUAAUAAGACUCUACGUGAUUUGAAUAUGAAAUUAUCUAAGUUUAAUAUAAAUAAUAGUCAAAUUUUAAUACAAAUAUAAAAAGAAAAUAGAAAGAAGUUUGACGAAUAUGAGGUGGACACAAAUUGCCAAUCUAAUAGUCGACUGAGACUGAAGAAAUUAAUUGCGACAACAACCAAUGAAUACGACUUUCUCUAUUCAUUUUAAUUAUUCAUAAUAUUAAAAAAAAAAAUUAAUUUAUCCACUUAAUUAGCUUAUCAAGAUAAAUUAUAUAUUUUAUUUUAUUAUUAUUAGCUAUGUAUUCUAUUUUAUUUUUCAAAUUCAUUGAGACUAUAUAUAUAUAUAUAUAUAUAUAUAUAUAUUAUUGCUAUUUCUUAAUGGAACUGUAAAGCUUCUUAUAAACAAGUAAAAAUAACAAAGCUUAUAUUUAUUAAUACAUAGGUUCAAAAUUAUUACCCCUAAGAAAUUAAAAAGGUAUUAAUUAUUUUCUCGCAAGUAAUUUCUUUCAAGUUUCAUAAUGUACAAAGCAUUUAAUAAUCUUUCAUAAUUGAUAUUUUCUAAUAAUUUCUUUUCAAUUAAUAAUAUAACCAAUCUAUGCAGAUUAAUAAUUUUUGAACAUAAUAUUUCAAAUAUAUAUAUAUCAAACUUCUUCUAAUUUUUUUUCUUUCUAUACGAGAAGCUCAAUUUUUCUAUAGUACGCUAUUAUUUUUUGUAAUAAAAAAUAAAAUCUAUUAUUGCUAAAAAGCAAAUGCCCUUCCUUCAAAUUUUGAGGUCUUAAAGGCACUUAUCUUUUGUUAAUUAACCUUGUAGAAUUUGUACUAGAGUAUUGUGGUCCCGUUUGACUUCAAAUAUAUUACGAGAAAAUUUGCAAGAAAAUUUAAAAAAUAAUGUUUGAUCAUAUAAUUUAUUAUUAUUUAGCAAAUAUCUAUCAAAUAUUUUAAUUUUUAAAUUUUAGAAAAAAAAUAAUAUUUGAGUAAAGUUCUAAUAUUUAGAAAUUCAAAUAAAUCACGUCAAACUUUUAUAUUUUAUAAAUAGCAUUCGACAUUUAUUAAUUCCAACUAAUAUUUAUCUACCAAGUUACUCUAUUAAUAACUAAUAAUUACUCAUCUGUGCUAUCUAUAUAGAACCAGACCCAAAAAUAACAAAUUAUUGUUAAUGAAUUAUCAUUAAUAACAAUUAAUUGAUGUAAUGUGUAACAACUUCAAUUUCACAAUAGAAACAUUCAAAUAUUAUAAUCGUUAAAGUCAAAGUUACAACGGAAAAUGAAACUAACAAGAAAAUCGUAAAACGAUAAUGAACUAGUAAAACAAAGAAACCAUUGAAGAAGACUACUAGAAGGGAGAUGAGAAACACAGACUCAAAAAAAGGAAUGAGAGGACUAGACACUUUUCUACAAUAAUUUACGUAAUCCCUAAAUCACGUAUUACUUAUAUUGAAAGUUCGAACCGUUUUAUACCCACUACUCAAUUCGAAUCCCAAAUUAACCUGGUCCUAUAUUUUUAGCCCAAUAACAACUUAUAUGACAUUAAUAUCUAUAUUUGGUUAAACUUGAUUCAUAACAUAUUGCUCCUACCCAUAUUUUUAUUUUGUUGUGAAUUGAUAUUAAUUACUUUAUAAGCUAUUUUUUUAAAAAGGAAUAUGUUUAUUAUAAAAUGACAUUACAAACUUAAAAUAAUUUGUCAAAAAAAUUUAAAAAUUUGAGGCACACUAGAUGUGUACCGUGUUGUGAUAGAUGGGUUGUGUAGAGAGAGGAGAUUUACGAAAGCACAAAAUUGUUUGAUAACAUACUUUUUAAUUUGCUUUUAUAAUCCUCUUUUUUUAGAAAUAUUUUAUUUUUAGUUUUUAGGUAACAUGUUUAAGGUCAUAAUAAGACUAAAUGUCGUUUUGAUAUAUUUGACAUAACUUCAAUUUAGGAUCACAAGAUUAAAUUAUCUUUUUAAACUUUGUAUCAAGUUAAAUUAGAUUGUUAUUUUUUGAAAUGAGAGAAAAUGAUCAAAUGACCCCUUAACGUAUAACCGGAUUUUCAACUAUACACUUAAAUUUUAUGGGAGUCCUAUCACCCUCUGAACUAUUUAAAAAUGAAAUAAUUAUACCGUUAAAAAGCCAUAACCACCAAAUCUAUGGUGGAAUGUGAGUUUCACCACAUCAUCAAAUUAUUAUUUUUUUAAUUCUUUUCUUAUAUAUUCUUACCUAUCUCUUGAAAUACUGAAGAUAUUUUCACCAUUUUCACCAUUACUAGAACACCACGAGUCCAUUAAAAUUGGGUCUUUAAGGAAUAAUAAUAAUUUCAGAGCUCGUUCAAAGAUAUUUGGAUUUUGCUCAUUUGAAACCUAAAAAUCAAAUUAGAAAAAGUUGAAGGGGGAAGAGAAGACGAAUAUGAUGGAAUAUUGCCAUUAAUGGUGGUCACCGAAGAUAAGAAAUCCUCUCAAGAAAGAUGAGGAAGAGGAGCCUACCAUGUCUUCCACAUUGUCAUCUAUAGCGACGACAAUUUCAAAAAAGAAGACACCGAUUAUACGACAAUUGAUGGACUAACUAGAUUAAUAGCUAGAAUUUUUGAGAUAUAGUUGAUUAAUUGAGAUUUGAUAUUAGUAAUUAAAGGAUAUAUUAGAAAAAAAUUAUUUUUUUCUGGUUGGCCCAAUCAGAUUCAAAGUAAACUCAUAUUAAUUUUUCUCAAAUCAGAUCCAAAGCAUCUUGGGGUGAUAUAAAUAUAUGUCAUCAAUUGAUUUAGGUUGAUUGAUUUUGCAAGAGCUUUAUAAAUGUUUGAAAAUUUGUUUGGAGUCGACGAAAGUGAAGAUGGUGGCUGUAAGACUUAGGUGAUUGAGAGAUUUGUUUAUAUUGAUGGACAAGAAAGAAAACAAACAAAUAAUUAAAAAUGCAUAUAUUUGUUGAAAAAAGAUAUUCCAUCUGUUUCACAAAAAAUGAUUUGGUUUGACUUGACAUGAAGUUUAAGUAAAUAAAGAAGACUUUUGAAUCUUGUGGUCGUAAAUCAAAGUUAUGUCAAAUGUACAAAAUUAUCUUUUAAUUUUAUGGUCUUAAAUAUGGCACGUGGAAAGCUAAAGUUAAAAUGUUAGAGGUCAUUCUUUUGGAAAUAAACUAAAAUGGAAAGAAUGUCACUCUUUUUUAAAUAAAAAAGAGUUUAACUACUAUCCACCGACGGUGGACAAAAAAUUACACGGGCAUAUAUUUUUGGAAAUAUUUAAUUUUUUAAUUAAUAUAUUUUAAUAUUAUUAAUAUUAAAAUAAAAAUAAUAACAGAGUGUUAUAUGGUAACUUGAAUUAUAAAUUAAUUGUACAAAUUUAAUUAGGAUUCUUAUUUGUCUUACCAAAAACAAAAAAUACAUAAUUUCUUGUGUUUUCUUAUUGGAAAGCACUUCAAUCCUUCAAAGAAAAUCAUUGCCAACAUAUUUUUUUUUAUAAGAACCGGUACUUGUUGCCAUUGAAGCAAUGCUAGCAAAAUAUUAAUAAGAAACUAUUCCAGAAACAUAAAGUGCAACAAAAUCAACAUAUUCAAACUUAUAAGAGUAAGCAAACAAAAUCAAACACUAUUAAAUACGGCCCAUGAUUUAAUCACAAUUGCAUGCUUGGUUACAUUUUUUUAAACGAAAUCCUUCUUUUGAACAAACAAACUCUUGACCAAUAAUGGAUUUAUCUUUUCUUGAUCUACUAAUUCGAUUUUUGCGCACACUAAAACCAUUACGAUGAGCAUAAUCAAGAUAAAAUUUAAAUCUAGUAUCAAGUGAUUGAAAUUCCAUACCGAUGUAAGACUCUCUUAAUUCUUGCUCACCUAGUUGAGGAACAAAAGAUACAACUGCAUUCAUGUUGCUUUCUAUAUCCUCCAAGGAAUCUUCAAUUCCUUCUGCAUUUUGCUCUUCUAAAUUAGAGAUUUCAAAAGUUUCCUGCAAUACACAAUUAUUAGAUAUUAGACUAAUAGGGUAAGUUAGCUUUAAAAUUUUAAAUAUUUUUCAUGGCUAAUGUAUUGAACUUCUUCAAUUUGCUAAAAAGUUCUUAAACGUAUUCUUUAAAUAUCUUCAUCACUACAAAACAUAAAUUUCUUCAUACAUUAAAACAAGAAUAUUUCUUUGAAACGUUUAUUCAUGUUGCGAAAAAGAUUUAAUAAGUUAUGUAAAAAAAGAUAUACGAGGAAAACGCUACCAUGAUAAUUGUUUCAAAUUGCUUCAAUGGUGGAUAGUUGGUUGCUUCAAUGGUUUAUGUAGAAAAAGAAGAACGUUAAUCCAACUAAGAAAACACAAGAAAUUAUGUAUUUUUUAUUUUUGGUAAGACAAAUAAGAAUCCUAAUUAAAUUUGUACAAUUAAUUUAUAAUUCAAGUUACCAUAUAACACUAUGUUAUUAUUUUUAUUUUAAUAUUAAUAAUAUUAAAAUAUAUUAAUUAAAAAAAUUAAAUAUUUCCAAAAAUAAAAUGUCCGUGUAAUUUUUUUGUCCACCGUCGGUGGAUAGCAGUUAAACUCUAAAGAUCAAAUAAAGUUUUAAUAACAGAUUUUGGUGCUCACUCUCCAGAGAGAGUCAAAUACAUUUAGGGAACUAAUUAUUUCAAUUUUGAAUAGUACAAGGGAUGAUUAGACCCCCGUGAAAUUUAAUUGUAUAGCGUUGAGGGCAUUUAAUCAUUUUCUCUUUGAAACAGAGAAUAUAUAUCAUUACGGAUCUAAUCUCCAAAAGAUGAAGAGUGAGUAAACCCUGAAUAAUUUGCGACAUUUAAUACGUUGUUUACUUUAAUUAAUGGACUUAUAAUAAUAAGUUGGAAAGGACCGAAAAAGUUUAAUAUAUAUUGCAUGGUGAAUUUGUACCUUCAUGAAUUUAUUUAAAAGUAUACUUUUUAUAGGCAUUUGUGAUGGUGAUGAUGUUAUAAGUAUAUUUCUCAAUAAUUAGCAUUAUACGUGUAAGAAGUGGUUAGAAAAAGGAGGUACCUAGAUGAAUGAGCACACAAUAGCGUAUACUAUAUUACUCGAAUUUGAUAUAUAUGUGUAAUGCAUAUUAAAAGAACCCUAGUAAAAGUAGACCAAAAAUAUUGAAUAGACGAGAGAGUACAUAUACCAAAUAAGAUAGAUGUGUAUUAUCAAAGAUUAGAUUAAUACAACAUAGCCAAUCGUGAAAUUUCGAUACAAGACUCGACUACACACGAUUUUAAAAGAAACACAGGAAAACAGAAAGUAACAACUGAUAUAAUAUAAUCAAUCGUCAAAUUUCGAAACAAGACUCGAGUACAUACGAUUUUAAACGAAACACAGAAAAAAGAGAAAGUGACAACUGAUACAACAUAGAAAGAAAGGAUCCAUAAGCAAGAUCAAUGCUAUCUAUCUUAUUCUUAAUUCUCCUCAUGAAACCAAAUUCUGAUGAUCAGCUUUACUGAACUCUGCAUUGAUAAUGAACAAAACCAACAUUAAUAAUAAUAAUGAUGAUAACAAAAACAUAAUGUACUAACUAUAAUAGUAUUUUUUUUAUUAUAUAAUUACAUAUAUAAAUAUUUUGAAACUAAUAUUUCUUAACAGUAAAAUAUAAAUAAAAAAAUGCACUUAUUUUUUGAGAAAACCAAACACACUUGUAGGUGCUAGCACAUAUCAUUUUUUUGUUACUUUAUUUUUCAUACUACGAAGAGUUAGGUGUUGUUAUAGGUAAAAAAAGAUGAAAAAUUUAACAUACUUAGAGCAGUCAGUAGAGGGGCUGAUCUUGUAAGGGAUGUUGACACUACAAGUGUUAGGGAGAGCAGCAGCUUUGCCCAAAUUGAGUCCUGUAAAAGAAGAAGCAGCUGAUUUUAGGCAAGUGCAUGCGGCCUGUCGGUCUACUGUAGUCUUGGCUUGACCCAAAAGACCCUUAACACCAUCACAACAGUUUCUGAGAGGACCGCGGUUCAUUAGAUAAGGGAGACAAGGAGCCAAGGUAGAUGUAACUUGACCACAAGUUAAAGCCUCUGCAUGGGGUGCAACCACUACCAUGCAUAAAAGCACAAAGCAUGCAAUCUUGUUAACCAUUUCCAUUCUUAAUGAUUUAUGAAAAUUAGAAUAGUAAUUAUGAGGUUUAUGAGGAAGUAGUGGAUGAGAAGAAAUGUGUUUUGGUUGAGUGUUUUUAUAGAGGGAAAUUUGGAGUAGAUGGCCAAUGGAGGAGUGAGAGAGGUAGUUGGUUGUUAGGUUGAAAAUUUAAAGCAUUUUUAUGGUUGUACAUUAUUUUGCUGGCUCUAAAGUCAUGUGGUAGCUAGUUCUAACAUCUUACGUGUAGGAGUUUUUUUUUUCUCACCAAAGUUCCCAUAAAUAGAUUCCUCGAUCAAUGUAGGACUUUUACCUACUUUAAUAUCCCUUUUUUUACGUAGAUCCAAUUGAGAUGUGGAUCGAAAAUUCAAACAGGAAUGAAUAUAACUCUAAUAUCAUGUUAAGAUAUGUUUUUUAGAUCUAAUUUAAUAAUAAAUGCUAGCUUAUGAGAGGAGUAUUGUCCACAUCCUUAUAAGUAAAUCAUCAGUUUAUUUCCUGAUUAACGUGAGACUUUUACCUACUCUAACAGUUUGAUCGAAGAUUUUUUUUAAAAAAAAAUUAUGAAGUUAUAGAGUUAAAGAUGAAAUUGUAUUGGAUAAUACUUUUACGAAAGAAUAAAAAUGAUGUGAUUAUAGCUUUAAAAAUAAAAAAAAUAAUUAAGAUUUUAAAUACAACUUCAAGUUAAAUAUUUUACGACCAUAAAUUUAAAUUUGGGAAGUGACGAAGUUUAUUUUACUUCUGGCGUUCUUAGCUGGAUUACAACAACGUUUAAUUAAUCAAGGUCUUCAUUAGUGUUUAGACACUUAACCACCCAAGUCUUUAAUGCUUUUUCUACUUACCAGCUUUAUCUCUUAAAAAUUGAUACAAAAUGACUACGUAUUAUAUUUUAUAAAGUUGAAAAUGUGUUCCAUUUUCUUUUUCAAAAUUAUCCUUAACACGUUCCUUAUUAAAUGUAUACAUUUAGAAAUAAUCAUAUCAAUACACGAUCAAUAGUUAUAACGUAUACUUGUUUCUUAGUAUUUCUUAACCCUUUAAUCACCAAAGAUGACGGUGGUUUUAUAAAUAGGCAUUUCAUUAAUAUAGAUUUUGAGUUUAAAUCAUAUUAAUUAUAAAGUCAUAUUAGUCAUUUUUUUAUGGUACCAACACUACAAUUAAUUACCGCUACAAUAUGCAUUUUUAGCGGGAAUUUAACACUCUUUAUAUAUGUUUCUAAAGUCUUUAGCGACAUUGAUUUUAACGACAUUUAACUAAUGCAGGUAAAGACUUUAACACUCUUUGUUAAUGUCAGCAUUUAUUACCGUCAAAAGCUGUUUUUUGUGGUAGUGCAAUUUAGGAUAAAAAGUCUUACAUCGAUCAAAUACAUGAAAGAUACUUUUCGUUUUUUAAGAGUCAAACAAUUUAAGUUUGACUAGUAAUUUACACACGGAAUUUUCUUUUUAUUGAAAUGAAAUGUAUAUAUAUACUUAUAAACUACGUAAAAGUAUUAUAAGUCAUAAUUCAAAAUAUUUUUAAAAUGUAUAAAAAAUUUACGAUUAAAAUAGAUUUGUUUGAAUCUCGAUAUUCAAAAAGUGUCACAUAAAAUGAGACGAAUGGAAUAUAUAUAUAAUACGUUAGUGAUGCGUUAUAAAAUUAUAUGGGCUUAAAUCUAAAAUGGACAAUAUUACUAAUGACUUGAACCUUUAAAAAUGAUAUCUGUUCAACUCAUGUGUCAUCUUUAUUGAUAUAUAUGGACCAAAGCUCUACAUAUAGGCAAAAUCUCAUGUGGUGGAGUAAACCACUGCGUCUAUAUAAGAGGAGGUGCAUGUGAAACCCCAGAUAAAAAGUGUAACAUCAACAAAAUCAAUUGAUGAAAACAUAAAUUAUAUAAAUAAGCAAAUUUUACAUUUUAAUGACAUAUUUUAAAAUCGCGCAGACCUAGAUUUAACUAGAUUCAGGUAGGAAAAAAGAAACAGAACCUGACACUUUGACGUUUCUUAUAUGUUGCACAAAGUGUUGAUUGCUAAUUGGACCACGAAUUCAGCUAUAUUAUUACAUGCUUUCUCUUGGUCCAUGUAGUAUAAAUUUGUGUCGGUCCCAAUAUUAAUUUGGUAGAAGUUGAGUAAAGAUUUGAGCCACCCAAACUCAUUAAUUAGGCCAAACAAGAGGAAAUUUCUUUGAGACAUAUAGUCUUACCUAGAGGCCUAUAAUUUGGUGUAUAAUGUGGGGAUAUGUUUCACAUGUAUGAGUAUUAUAAAGUUUAUAUAAGUUUUAUAUAAAUGAUUUUCUUUAAGAUAAUAAAAUAAUAUUUACUGACCUUUCCAGAUUGGAUUAUUUUUUGACCUAUAAUUUUAGGUUGAUUUUCUCUGAGUUGUUUCAUAUAUCAAUUUUGACUAUUUGUUUAAAUAGUGUAUUAAUAAUACGAGGUUGUGUAUUGAUUGGUGUGGUUCGAUUUGAGAAUUUAUCAGUUUUAUUUAUUGAUUAUUGGUUUGUAAUCAUAUUUUAACCGUUAUUGAACAGUUAAAAUAUUAAUUUAUCGAUUAUUGGAUUAUUAGUUAGUGAUCGCUAUCGAUUUGAUUAUUGGAUUAACAGUUCAAACAAUUCCCAUUGAGAAUUACUAAUGGACUAAUCACUCAUUACAAUACGCAGUAGUCAGUAGUCACUAUGAACUUUCCCCGGUUAGUCUAUCUACAUAAAAUACUUAAUGAAACUCCAUAUUAAUUCAAAUAGAGAUGUCAAUAUUGCCCAAACUAGCAAAUUCAAAAGGAUUUCUCAUAACAACCAAGCCAAUUUUGAUAUGAACUAUAAAGAGAAACCAUUACGACACUGCUAACAAAAAUCAUUAAUGAUCAUGAGACUUACUAAUAAAAGCUUUUUCGUUUGCAAAUUCUAGCAUAGGGCGAUAUACAGACAUAUCUCAUUGACUCACUCACUGUAACUAGAAGAUAAAAACAAACACUUAAAGUAAGGGAACCAACCAUCUUAACCUCAAUUUUAGACACUUAGAAAAUGCUAUUCAGUAUAACUUUUUGGCGUGGGAGCAGUGACAGUGAAUUAAUGAGUGAUGUCGCAACUCUAAAAAUUCCUAAGGCCUUAAGUGAUAUAAAUGUAAGAUACUAAACUUGUUAUUAGGUUAUCACGACACUCAAUUAGAAAUAUGGCUAAACCGAAAUCCAAAUCGGUAAGACGAUGAAAAGUUUAUAAUAAAUUGAGAUUCGAACCGUUAAAUUAUUAAUCUGAAUCUUUGACCCAAUAAUAAAUAUCAAUCUCGAUUUGAUUUGAUCAGCUCUAUGGUGAUAUUUCAAAUAAAAAUCAUGAAGUUAAAUUAAAAAUUGUUGUUUUUUAAGUUGCCACCUAAUGCAUGGAAGAACUUGAUUAAAAAAGUGUCACGACCCAAAUCCGGGCCGCGACUGGCACCACACUUACCCUCCUAUGUGAGCGAACCAACCAAUCUAACCUUAACAUUUCAAUAUAAUAUCAACAGAAAGUAAUGCGGAAGACUUAAACUCAUUAAAUAAAGACCAAUUCAUUAACUUCUAAAAUUCAACAUCUAUUAUUCCCCAAAAUCUGGAAGUCAUCAUCACAAGAACAUCUACGAUCAAACGACUAAACUAAGAGUAUUCUAAAAGCUAAAAAUACAUAAGAAGCUAGUCCAUGCAGGAAGUUCAAGGCAUCAAGACUUGAAGAAGAAGAUCCAGUCCAAGCUAGAAGCAUUAGCUCACCCUGAAUUUCCGAUGUAGCAAGACUGACUUGAAUUACUGUUGAGUUGAAGACGAUGGCACGUUUGCUGCACUCCACAAAUAAACAAGAAGAGAACAUAAAAGUAGGGGUCAGUACAAAACACGGGUACUGAGUAGAUAUCAUCGGCCAACUCAAAAUAGAAAUCAAUAUAUACCAAGUAAUAUCAUAAAAUCAACUAUGAUACUCAACAUGUAGCAACAACAAAUACUAUAUCGUUAACAAUUACCGUCAAGUUCACACAUGAGGACUCAAGCCUCGAUACCAUACUCAUUUGGGAAUCAUGUUCAUUAGAUUGAGUAUAUUAACAUCUUUCAAGAUUCAUUAUCUUUAUUUCUCUGUGUCGGUACGUGACACUCCGCUCCCUCAAUAUUCAUUAAUCCUCUUGUGUCGGUACGUGACACUCCGAUCCCCUAAAUCUAUGUGUCGGUUCGUGACACCCGAUCCCCUAAAUCUAUGUGUCGGUUCGUGACACCCGAUCCCCUAAAUCUACGUGUCGGUUCGUGACACCCGAUCCCCUAUACUACGUGUCGGUUCAUGACACCCGAUCCCUAAAUCUAUGUGUCGGUUCGUGACACCCGAUCCCCUAAUUCUACGUGUCGGUUCGUGACACCCGAUCCCCUAAUACUACGUGUCGGUUCGUGACACCCGAUCCCCUAAUUCUACGUGUCAGUUCGUGACACCCGAUCCCGAGCCAUCCAAUGGUUCGUGCACACGACUCAUAAUCUCUAUGUCGGUUCGUGACACCCAUCCCCAAAUGUCUACGUGUCGUGUUUCGUGACACCCGAUCCCCUAAUCUAUACGUUGUCGGUUAUGACACCCUCCCUUCACGUGUCAGUUCGUGACACCCGAUCCUACUUAAUUCUACGUGUCGGUUCGUGACACCCGAUCCCUAAUCUCCUUCCAUCAAUUCAUCAAGCCUUCUUUCUCAAUUGUAUCUCAAAAAUGAGAAUUAAUUCUCAAUUGUGCUAAACGUGUAUUUUUAGCGGCAAUUGACACUCUUUGUAUCUGUCCCUUAAACUUUUAAACGACAUUGGUUCUAAUGAAACUUAACUAAUGUCGGUAAAGACUUUAACACUCUUUAUUAGGCCUCAUUUGUUUGCACUUAAUGGAGGUCUGAAUCUAAAUCAUUCAAAUUCAGCUUAUUAAGUACAUUUGGUUUUAGGUUUGAAUCUCAAUCAGCCCAUUAAGUUCAUUUGUUUUAUUUUUAAAAAGCCUCUUAAUGGGUCUGAAGAGGUCUGAAUGAAUCAGAUCUGUAGGAGACUCUUAACAACAUUCAGAUUUGUUUAAUAAGUUAUCAAAUAAUAAAUAUCGCUUCUCUACUUUAACCGUGCUUUUUAUCGCAUAACUAAAAACUUUGUUUUUCUCUUUUCUCAAUCAAACGUCAUUUUCCCCUUCUUGAACUGAUAAAUUUUCAUAAAUCUUUUCAAGUUUUUUUUUAUAUUAAUAAUUUUCUUGUAUUGACUGUGUCAAAAACAUUGUUGGUGUAUUAGCUAGCGUUUAUCAAGGUUUUUGAAUGAAAAAAAUUUCCAAAAUCAUGAUUAUUAAAACUUUUUAUUAUCAAAAGCGAUAUAUUUUGUUGAAAUGAAUUUUUAUUAUUUUUAUUAGUUUAAUGUUAAUUUCACAUGCACAUUCAGAUAUUGAAAACAAACAAUAUUAAUUAUUUAGUGUUCAGAUUUAGAGACCACAUCUUAAUAUUCAGAUGUGUAUUCAGAUCAAAGUACCUGAAUCUUAAUAUUCAGAUGUGUAUUCAGAUUCAGACCUCUUAGUCUGGCUGGAAACAAAUAAGGCCUUCCGCUAUUUUUGUUGUAGUGAGUGGUAAUUAAUUAAAAUUAUAGUUAUAUAAACUAAUUAGCUAGUAUAUGUUUGCUUAACUAUACUAUUUUCCCAAAUAAGUUUAUAUUAUCCAUCAUAAAAUAUAAAUAACCACACGUAUUAGAAUGUAUAAAAAUAAUGUACAAUAGAGUAUAUUAGUAACACUUAUAUAUUAGUAAUAUUUGUAUUAGUUAUGCUUGCAUUAGCUAUAUAUAACUUUUUAUUUAUGCAUUGUUUGGUUUGAUGUAUUAAAAAUAGUACGCAUUGUAUAAUUAUAUUUAUUUACAAAAUAGUCUCCACAAUUAUGACGGAAAAAACGUAAAAUGUUUUUAGGGUCAAUUGGGUCUUUAACCAUAUUAAUACACAUAAAAAUUAAGAAAUUGACGCGACUCCUUAAAAAGGGCAUGUAAUUACAGUGGGCGCGAAAUGGCGUGAGCAUAUGUGAUGAUUCCCCAACUCAAUGCGGAGGAGCUCGUAAAGUUUGCUGAGAAAGUUUUUUGUGUGCUUUGAGCGCAAGAUCCAUGGGUUACCACAUAUGAAAAAUUAAGGAAUUUCUGUAAUUCCUAAAAAAAGGGCCUGUGGGUGUGGAAAUGAGCAAGAAAAUAAUAGCAUGAGCAUACGUGAUAGGUCCCAACUCAUGAAUUUGGAGGUCCUCAUAAAAAAUUUUCAAAUUUUUUUUGCGUGCUCAUGGCUAAAGAUCUAUGGAUAAUACAAAUAGAAAAUUGUGGAAUUUAAGCUAUUUCAAAAAUGGGCCUGAAGAUGCGGAUAUGAGUGAGAAAAAAAUGGUGUGAUCAUGCGCGAUGGUUCCCAACUCAAUAUAGAGGUCAUCCUACAAUUUUCUUAGAAAUUUUUUGAGUGCUCCAAGCGCCAAAUCUAUGAGCUAAUACAUAUAAAAAAAUUGAAGAAUUCACGCGAUUCACAAAAAUGACAUAUGGAUGCGAAAAUGUGCGCGAAAAAAAUGGUGUGAGCAUACAUGAUGGUUCUGCAACUCAAUACGGUGGUCCUCAUAAAGUUCUUUCAGAAACAUCUUUUGGGUGCUCCAAAAGUCAGACCCAUAGGCUAAUACACACAAAAAUUGAAGUAUUUGCGUGAUUUCAGAAAAGGCAUGUAUAUGCAAAAAUGGGAGAAGAAAAUGGUGUGAAUAUAUAUACGUGAUGGUUCCCAACUCCAUACGGAGAUCCAUAUAAAGUUUUUUGAGAAAAUAAUUUUUGGUGCUCCGAAUAUAUCGUCUGUAUGGUUGCUACGGAGCAUCUGAUUUGUAUAGAUCGACAUAUCAUUUGUAUUAAAGCGCAAUGAUUGUAUAUAUAUAACUAUAACAGAGGAGGAGGAGGGACUAGGGAAGAGGAGGAGGAGGAGGAGGAAGUUGUCUCAAUGUAUUUGAUAAAAUAGUUUUUGUGAUAAGAGGCGGACCCACCCUUUUAGGUAGGGUGCACGUGCACUUGUUAAUUUCGGUAAAUAAAAUCAUGAGUUUGUGAGUGUAUGUGUGUGUAUUGAUAUAUAUUGAAAAAUUGAGAGAAAUUAGAAUAUAAUUAACGUACUCAUCAUAAAAAGCAUAAGUAUAUAUGUUAUUGUGCUGCCGGUACAAGCUAAAGUAUGCACAUGCAAGACUUGAAUUUGAAUCUAGCUAGAGUGUUGUUUCACUUUUUUUUAUGUUAAGCUUAUCAUAGAGGCUAAAGCUUAUAUUUGAGCUAAGGUAAUAUUGGUGCACCAACUUCAAAUUCCGAUUCGCCUUUUGCAGCAUUAGUUAUUUUUAGCCAAUACGAUAACUAAAAUGGAUCGGAGGGAAUAUCAUGAUUUGAAUAAAGGAUCUAACCAGAGUCAAAUUUAAAAUAUAUUGAUGAAAUUUCUAAAAUUCCAACGUUAUAUCAUCCUUUUCUUAAGAAUUACCAAAUCAUAAUUAGAGUUGAGAAAAAUUUAAAGCAGAAAAUAACAUGUAUUACUAUAUGAAGAUUGGGUUGUAACAUAAGCAACCACCAAUGUUCAUUACAAGACUCGACAAUAUAUAAGUACUCCAAAUUACAAAAGAAAAGAGACAACAUAUAUAUAUAUAUAUAUAUAUAUAUAUAUAUAAUGAUGGAUCAAACUCGAUAGAUAAAUCCAUCUUAUUCUUCAUCUCCACAAGCCAGAUUUAGCUUUCAUCAACCUUACUGGACCCUGCAAUGCAAUAUUAAAUCAACAUUAAAUAUAUAGUAUGCGCGUACACACAUAUAUAUAUCGUUUUGUAACAUAUAAGUUUAAUCAAUAGUCAGACAUAUAUAAAUUACAAAUAAAAGAGAUAUUAUACUGUCAAUUGAAUAAGUAUAAUCACCGUACGUUGAGCAAUCAGUGGAAGGGCUGAUCUUGUAAGGAAUGUUGACUCCACAAACUCCAGGGAGCCCAGCGGCUUUUCCUGUAUCAAUGCCCUUAAUAGAAUUAGCUGCCGAUUUAAGGCAAGUGCACGCUGUCUUCCGGUCUUCUGGGGUCUUGGCUGCGCCCAAUAGACCCUUAACACCACCACAACACCCUCCUAGAGGGCCGCGACCCUCGAGAUAAGGGAGACAAGGAGCCAAGCCAGACGUAACCUCGCCGCAGCUCAGUGACUCUGCAUGGGGUGCAACCACCACCAUGCAAAAAACCACAAAGCAUGCAAUUUUUCCAAACAUUUCCAUUCUUAUAAAAAAAUUGAGUAAAGAUUAUAGAUAUAGUAGUACAAUUGUAUUUGUUUUGUGUGUUAGGUGUAAAAGCUAGUGAGUAUUUAUAGAGAGGAAAUUAGUGGAAUUAAAAAUGAGAGAAUUAGUUGGGAGUUAAGAGUUAAAUGAAAUGAGUAUAAAGUCAAAUUUCGUUUGUUACGUGACUAAUUUUUAUUGAACCACGCUAUACACGAUUUAAGGCCCAAUCCACAAAUUGUCCCAAUACUACUUUUCCUGUUACAGUGACGAAGUCAGAAAAUUUAAUUUAUCGUAAUCUUUUUCUUAAAAUAAUGUGUGUUCGAUGGCUCUACUCAUGCUUUGAAUCAUUUUAUUUUUUAUUCUUUAUGGUAUAAAGUAAAUGUUUUUUUUUUAGAAAAAAAAAAAAUACAAGGAGAAGAGUGGUUAUUAAAUAAAGAAGAGUAAUAAAUAAGGAGAAGGGUGGGAUGUAAAAAAGUCAUAAUACAUGAAAUUGAUUAAACAAUGUCUCGAGUACAAACUAAGGAGACAGAGUACCUUACUGUUAGAUGUGGAAAUAUUAUGGUACAUGAGUUAAUUUUGAAACAAAUGACCCAUUAAUUUCUUUUAAAAAUUGGAUUUAAGGUGUAAUGUUUAUUUAUUUAAAUAAAUCAAUUUGCUUUCAUGACUUUUUUUUUUUAAAAAUGAGUUUAAGGUGUAAAGUUUAUUACUUAAUUAUAAAUGAUUAAAUAUUUUUUGUAUGUUCAAUACAAAUGCUUGUUUCCGGUCAAAAAGAUCAUGAAAAAAGUAUACAAAAUAAUUAAACCUAUAGCAAAAUUAUAAUUAUGUGUUAUAGUUAUAAGUUGCAUAAUUUGCUCACCAUAGCGAAUAUGCUAUGGCUAUUUCGCUACAUAUAUAUAUAUAAAAGAAUUUAAGAUAUAUAUAUUUAUAUAUAUAUAUAUAUGUGUGUGUGUGUUAUAGUUAUAAGUUGCAUAAUUUGCUCACCAUAGCGAAUAUGCUAUGGCUAUUUCGCUACAUAUAUAUACAAAAGAAUUUAAGAUAUAUAUAUAUUUAUAUAUAUAUAUAUAAUAAUAUAUAUUUGCAUAAAUUAUUGUCCGUCUCUCGUGGCUGCCUUUCAAUUCAAUUUAUGUGUUUGUAUAUCUGUAUAUAAUUUGAAUUUGUAUACAAUUUAAUCGAAAUAAAAAUGUUGGUAAUCAAUCAAAAAUUGCUCUCUGUUAUACAUUGUAUUUUAUAUAAUCUAUACUUCUAUAAAGCGAGAAAGAGAAAGACAAAAGAGACCUAAGCAUGAGAAUAUUUGGAUUGUAUAAUUAUAAGUGUAUAGAACAAAAAUAUUUGUAUUUGCAUGUGUACAUACAUUUUCUUCCGCUUUGUACAAACAGAAACACAUUCAAAUAUUAUAAUCGUUAAAGUCAAAGUUACAACGGAAAAUGAAACUAACAAGAAAAUCGUAAAACGAUAAUGAACUAGUAAAACAAAGAAACCAUUGAAGAAGAGACUACUAGAAGGGAGAUGAGAAACACAGACUCAAAAAAAGGAAUGAGAGGACUAGACACUUUUCUACAAUAAUUUACGUAAUCCCUAAAUCACGUAUUACUUAUAUUGAAAGUUCGAACCGUUUUAUACCCACUACUCAAUUCGAAUCCCAAAUUAACCUGGUCCUAUAUUUUUAGCCCAAUAACAACUUAUAUGACAUUAAUAUCUAUAUUUGGUUAAACUUGAUUCAUAACAUAUUGCUCCUACCCAUAUUUUUAUUUUGUUGUGAAUUGAUAUUAAUUACUUUAUAAGCUAUUUUUAAAAAGGAAUAUGUUUAUUAUAAAAUGACAUUACAAACUUAAAAUAAUUUGUCAAAAAAAUUUAAAAAUUUGAGGCACACUAGAUGUGUACCGUGUUGUGAUAGAUGGGUUGUGUAGAGAGAGGAGAUUUACGAAAGCACAAAAUUGUUUGAUAACAUACUUUUUAAUUUGCUUUUAUAAUCCUCUUUUUUUAGAAAUAUUUUAUUUUUAGUUUUUAGGUAACAUGUUUAAGGUCAUAAUAAGACUAAAUGUCGUUUUGAUAUAUUUGACAUAACUUCAAUUUAGGAUCACAAGAUUAAAUUAUCUUUUUAAACUUUGUAUCAAGUUAAAUUAGAUUGUUAUUUUUUUGAAAUGAGAGAAAAUGAUCAAAUGACCCCUUAACGACGUAUAACCGGAUUUUCAACUAUACACUUAAAUUUUAUGGGAGUCCUAUCACCCUCUGAACUAUUUAAAAAUGAAAUAAUUAUACCGUUAAAAAGCCAUAACCACCAAAUCUAUGGUGGAAUGUGAGUUUCACCACAUCAUCAAAUUAUUAUUUUUUUAAUUCUUUUCUUAUAUAUUCUUACCUAUCUCUUGAAAUACUGAAGAUAUUUUCACCAUUUUCACCAUUACUAGAACACCACGAGUCCAUUAAAAUUGGGUCUUUAAGGAAUAAUAAUAAUUUCAGAGCUCGUUCAAAGAUAUUUGGAUUUUGCUCAUUUGAAACCUAAAAAUCAAAUUAGAAAAAGUUGAAGGGGGAAGAGAAGACGAAUAUGAUGGAAUAUUGCCAUUAAUGGUGGUCACCGAAGAUAAGAAAUCCUCUCAAGAAAGAUGAGGAAGAGGAGCCUACCAUGUCUUCCACAUUGUCAUCUAUAGCGACGACAAUUUCAAAAAAGAAGACACCGAUUAUACGACAAUUGAUGGACUAACUAGAUUAAUAGCUAGAAUUUUUGAGAUAUAGUUGAUUAAUUGAGAUUUGAUAUUAGUAAUUAAAGGAUAUAUUAGAAAAAAUUAUUUUUUUCUGGUUGGCCCAAUCAGAUUCAAAGUAAACUCAUAUUAAUUUUUCUCAAAUCAGAUCCAAAGCAUCUUGGGGUGAUAUAAAUAUAUGUCAUCAAUUGAUUUAGGUUGAUUGAUUUUGCAAGAGCUUUAUAAAUGUUUGAAAAUUUGUUUGGAGUCGACGAAAGUGAAGAUGGUGGCUGUAAGACUUAGGUGAUUGAGAGAUUUGUUUAUAUUGAUGGACAAGAAAGAAAACAAACAAAUAAUUAAAAAUGCAUAUAUUUGUUGAAAAAAGAUAUUCCAUCUGUUUCACAAAAAAUGAUUUGGUUUGACUUGACAUGAAGUUUAAGUAAAUAAAGAAGACUUUUGAAUCUUGUGGUCGUAAAUCAAAGUUAUGUCAAAUGUACAAAAUUAUCUUUUAAUUUUAUGGUCUUAAAUAUGGCACGUGGAAAGCUAAAGUUAAAAUGUUAGAGGUCAUUCUUUUGGAAAUAAACUAAAAUGGAAAGAAUGUCACUCUUUUUUAAAUAAAAAAGAGUUUAACUACUAUCCACCGACGGUGGACAAAAAAUUACACGGGCAUAUUAUUUUUGGAAAUAUUUAAUUUUUUAAUUAAUAUAUUUUAAUAUUAUAAUAUUAAAAUAAAAAUAAUAACAGAGUGUUAUAUGGUAACUUGAAUUAUAAAUUAAUUGUACAAAUUUAAUUAGGAUUCUUAUUUGUCUUACCAAAACAAAAAAUACAUAAUUUCUUGUGUUUUCUUAUUGGAAAGCACUUCAAUCCUUCAAAGAAAAUCAUUGCCAACAUAUUUUUUUUUAUAAGAACCGGUACUUGUUGCCAUUGAAGCAAUGCUAGCAAAAUAUUAAUAAGAAACUAUUCCAGAAACAUAAAGUGCAACAAAAUCAACAUAUUCAAACUUAUAAGAGUAAGCAAAACAAAAUCAAACACUAUUAAAUACGGCCCAUGAUUUAAUCACAAUUGCAUGCUUGGUUACAUUUUUUUAAACGAAAUCCUUCUUUUGAACAAACAAACUCUUGACCAAUAAUGGAUUUAUCUUUUCUUGAUCUACUAAUUCGAUUUUUGCGCACACUAAAACCAUUACGAUGAGCAUAAUCAAGAUAAAAUUUAAAUCUAGUAUCAAGUGAUUGAAAUUCCAUACCGAUGUAAGACUCUCUUAAUUCUUGCUCACCUAGUUGAGGAACAAAAGAUACAACUGCAUUCAUGUUGCUUUCUAUAUCCUCCAAGGAAUCUUCAAUUCCUUCUGCAUUUUGCUCUUCUAAAUUAGAGAUUUCAAAAGUUUCCUGCAAUACACAAUUAUUAGAUAUUAGACUAAUAGGGUAAGUUAGCUUUAAAAUUUUAAAUAUUUUUCAUGGCUAAUGUAUUGAACUUCUUCAAUUUGCUAAAAAGUUCUUAAACGUAUUCUUUAAAUAUCUUCAUCACUACAAAACAUAAAUUUCUUCAUACAUUAAAACAAGAAUAUUUCUUUGAAACGUUUAUUCAUGUUGCGAAAAAGAUUUAAUAAGUUAUGUAAAAAAAGAUAUACGAGGAAAACGCUACCAUGAUAAUUGUUUCAAAUUGCUUCAAUGGUGGAUAGUUGGUUGCUUCAAUGGUUUAUGUAGAAAAAGAAGAACGUUAAUCCAACUAAGAAAACACAAGAAAUUAUGUAUUUUUUAUUUUUGGUAAGACAAAUAAGAAUCCUAAUUAAAUUUGUACAAUUAAUUUAUAAUUCAAGUUACCAUAUAACACUAUGUUAUUAUUUUUAUUUUAAUAUUAAUAAUAUUAAAAUAUAUUAAUUAAAAAAAUUAAAUAUUUCCAAAAAUAAAAUGUCCGUGUAAUUUUUUGUCCACCGUCGGUGGAUAGCAGUUAAACUCUAAAGAUCAAAUAAAGUUUUAAUAACAGAUUUUGGUGCUCACUCUCCAGAGAGAGUCAAAUACAUUUAGGGAACUAAUUAUUUCAAUUUUGAAUAGUACAAGGGAUGAUUAGACCCCCGUGAAAUUUAAUUGUAUAGCGUUGAGGGCAUUUAAUCAUUUUCUCUUUGAAACAGAGAAUAUAUAUCAUUACGGAUCUAAUCUCCAAAAGAUGAAGAGUGAGUAAACCCUGAAUAAUUUGCGACAUUUAAUACGUUGUUUACUUUAAUUAAUGGACUUAUAAUAAUAAGUUGGAAAGGACCGAAAAAGUUUAAUAUAUAUUGCAUGGUGAAUUUGUACCUUCAUGAAUUUAUUUAAAAGUAUACUUUUUAUAGGCAUUUGUGAUGGUGAUGAUGUUAUAAGUAUAUUUCUCAAUAAUUAGCAUUAUACGUGUAAGAAGUGGUUAGAAAAAGGAGGUACCUAGAUGAAUGAGCACACAAUAGCGUAUACUAUAUUACUCGAAUUUGAUAUAUAUGUGUAAUGCAUAUUAAAAGAACCCUAGUAAAAGUAGACCAAAAAUAUUGAAUAGACGAGAGAGUACAUAUACCAAAUAAGAUAGAUGUGUAUUAUCAAAGAUUAGAUUAAUACAACAUAGCCAAUCGUGAAAUUUCGAUACAAGACUCGACUACACACGAUUUUAAAAGAAACACAGGAAAACAGAAAGUAACAACUGAUAUAAUAUAAUCAAUCGUCAAAUUUCGAAACAAGACUCGAGUACAUACGAUUUUAAACGAAACACAGAAAAAAGAGAAAGUGACAACUGAUACAACAUAGAAAGAAAGGAUCCAUAAGCAAGAUCAAUGCUAUCUAUCUUAUUCUUAAUUCUCCUCAUGAAACCAAAUUCUGAUGAUCAGCUUUACUGAACUCUGC
rnacentral:lncRNA from 1 species